AUGCAGUCGAGCGCCAGCAAUGGGAGCGGCAGACGGGUGAGUAACGCGUGGGGAUCUGCCCAAUGGUACGGAAUAACCCAGGGAAACUUGGAUUAAUACCGUAUGUGCCCUUCGGGGGAAAGAUUUAUCGCCAUUGGAUGAACCCGCGUCGGAUUAGCUAGUUGGUGUGGUAAAGGCGCACCAAGGCGACGAUCCGUAGCUGGUCUGAGAGGAUGAUCAGCCACACUGGGACUGAGACACGGCCCAGACUCCUACGGGAGGCAGCAGUGGGGAAUAUUGGACAAUGGGCGCAAGCCUGAUCCAGCCAUGCCGCGUGUGUGAUGAAGGCCUUAGGGUUGUAAAGCACUUUCGCCGGUGAAGAUAAUGACGGUAACCGGAGAAGAAGCCCCGGCUAACUUCGUGCCAGCAGCCGCGGUAAUACGAAGGGGGCAAGCGUUGCUCGGAAUCACUGGGCGUAAAGCGUACGUAGGCGGGUCGUUAAGUCAGGGGUGAAAUCCUGGAGCUCAACUCCAGAACUGCCCUUGAUACUGGCGAUCUUGAGUUCGAGAGAGGUUGGUGGAACUGCGAGUGUAGAGGUGAAAUUCGUAGAUAUUCGCAAGAACACCAGUGGCGAAGGCGGCCAACUGGCUCGAUACUGACGCUGAGGUACG
rnacentral:rRNA from 1 species